rnacentral:rRNA from 1 species
UAAUACAUGCAAGUCGAGCGCUUGAGGCACCUUCGGGUGUGGACGGCGCGGCGGACGGGUGAGUAACACGUGGGUAACCUGCCCGCAAGACCGGGAUAACCUCGGGAAACCGGGACUAAUACCGGAUAUGCCUUUUUCUCGCAUGAGAGGAAGGGAAAGGUUGCUUCGGCAGCCACUUGCGGAUGGGCCCGCGGCGCAUUAGCUAGUUGGUGGGGUAGCGGCCUACCAAGGCGACGAUGCGUAGCCGACCUGAGAGGGUGACCGGCCACACUGGGACUGAGACACGGCCCAGACUCCUACGGGAGGCAGCAGUAGGGAAUUUUCCGCAAUGGACGAAAGUCUGACGGAGCAACGCCGCGUGAGCGAGGACGGUCUUCGGAUUGUAAAGCUCUGUUCUCUCGGAAGAGUAUCUUAGAGCUGAGAAGGUUCUAAGAUUCGACGGUAGGGAAGGAGAAAGCCCCGACUAACUACGUGCCAGCAGUCGCGGUAAUACGUAGGGGGCGAGCGUUGUCCGGAAUUAUUGGGCGUAAAGGGCGCGCAGGCGGCCCCUUAAGUCAGUUGUGAAAGGUCCCGGCUCAACCGGGGAGCUGCAGCUGAAACUGGGGGGCUUGAGUGCAGGAGAGGAGAGCGGAAUUCUCGGUGUAGCGGUGGAAUGCGUAGAGAUCGGGAGGAACACCAGUGGCGAAGGCGGCUCUCUGGCCUGUAACUGACGCUGAGGCGCGAAAGCGUGGGGAGCGAACAGGAUUAGAUACCCUGGUAGUCCACGCCGUAAACGAUGAGUGCUAGGUGUUGGGGGCUUUAGAUGCCCGCAGUGCCGAAGGAAACCCAAUAAGCACUCCGCCUGGGGAGUACGGCCGCAAGGCUGAAACUCAAAGGAAUUGACGGGGGCCCGCACAAGCGGUGGAGCAUGUGGUUUAAUUCGAUGCAACGCGAAGAACCUUACCAGGGCUUGACAUCCCUCUGACCGGUGUAGAGAUACACCCUUCCCGUUAGGGACAGAGGUGACAGGUGGUGCAUGGUUGUCGUCAGCUCGUGUCGUGAGAUGUUGGGUUCAGUCCCGCAACGAGCGCAACCCUUGUCUCUAGUUGCCAGCACGUUGAGGUGGGCACUCUAGAGAGACAGCCGGUGAAAGCCGGAGGAAGGUGGGGAUGACGUCAAAUCAUCAUGCCCCUUAUGCCCUGGGCUACACACGUGCUACAAUGGCUGGUACAACGGGUUGCGAAGCCGCGAGGUGGAGCCAAUCCCUAAAAGCCAGUCUCAGUUCGGAUCGCAGGCUGCAACUCGCCUGCGUGAAGCUGGAAUCGCUAGUAAUCGCGGAUCAGCAUGCCGCGGUGAAUACGUUCCCGGGCCUUGCACACACCGCCCGUCACACCACGAGAGUCUGCAACACCCGAAGUCGGUGAGGGAACCGCGUAGGCGGACCCAGCUGCCGAAGGUGGGGCAGAUGAUUGGGGUGAAGUCGUAACAAGGUAUCCCUACCGGAAGG